UACGUGUAAUACAGGAUGUCAUCAACUAGAUUGAGGCAGUCACUUCCAAAUAUUAAGCCUAAUUUAAUGCAACAUAAAUUCUUGUAAUGGGUUUGUACCACAGGAGAGUAGUUCUACUUGUUGAAUUCCCUAAAAGCACCUUAAGGUGCAAAAGUGCUAUUUUAUUUUGUACCAACAGCCAUUAAAGGAACCUUACAACUCCUUAGUCCGUGUCAGUCUGACCAUAAGCGUGAACAGAGUUGAUUGCUGAAUUCAUUUAAGCUCUGAACAAGUUUGGCAUCAGAAAGAAAGAGGCACCACUGAGUUGUAGGUGGAGCGCUGAAGGUGUAGAACAUCGUCUUGAGAGACUUCUCGGACGACUUUUCUUUUUAAUAAGCAAUACAAGCAUUUGAACAGAUAUAAACCGUGUGUGUGUGUGUGUGUGUGUACGCAAUUCUUCAGUGGCCUUUGGCAGACUGAAUGUAGGCUGGUUUGUGUGUUGCUUGUUACAGAAGUUGUUCUGUACUUUACUUUUGUUUGUAAUCACUUUAAGUAACUUCUUCUCUUUCAGUUUAACACAAUCACCUGUUGGGAUGCUUGUUCUUAUUUUGCUAUAAUGAAAUCCCAGAAACUGCCUUUUAAGGAGUCUAAAAUGAAAAGAGAAUAUUCUGUUGAGGCACUCCUCUCUCAUAGCUUAUAUUUCUAAUCAAUAACGUGUGAAUGGAUUAGCAGCUGUAGCUCGGAGUGAGGCAGAUCAAACUUGGGGCGCUCUUAAAUGACGGAGCUUUGGACAGAACUACAAUAUCUAUUAAUGUUUUUCAAUAACUUUCUUUCUUUUUUUAAGACGGUAAACAUCUUUGCAAUGUUUUAGUGUGUGUGCGCGCGUUUGUGUUACCGUGUCUGUGAGAGGUUAACUCCAGAUUGUAUUUCAUAGACUGAUCAAAUUUAAACUUUCAAAAGAUUGUGCUGAAUGAAUUCAUGUCUUAAUACAGCAUUGUUUGAAAAAUUAAAUACCUUAAUCUCA